GCCUGGCUGGCUCAGUCGGUGGAGCCUGAGACUCUUGAUCUCGGGAUGGUGAGUUCGAGCCCCACGCUGGGUG
rnacentral:tRNA from 1 species